rnacentral:rRNA from 1 species
UAGAUCUCAAAUCAGAUAGGAUUACCCGCUGAACUUAAGCAUAUCAAUAAGCGGAGGAAAAGAAACUAACAAGGAUUCCCCUAGUAGCGGCGAGCGAAGCGGGAAGAGCUCAAAUUUGUAAUCUGGCGCUUUCAGCGUCCGAGUUGUAAUCUCUAGAAAUGUUUUCCGCGUUGCACCGCACACAAGUCUGUUGGAAUACAGCGGCACAGUGGUGAGACCCCCGUUCAUGGUGCGGAUGCGCAAUGCUUUGUGAUACAUUUUCGAAGAGUCGAGUUGUUUGGGAAUGCAGCUCAAAUUGGGUGGUAAAUUCCAUCUAAAGCUAAAUAUUGGCGAGAGACCGAUAGCGAACAAGUACCGUGAGGGAAAGAUGAAAAGCACUUUGGAAAGAGAGUUAACAGUACGUGAAAUUGUUGGAAGGGAAACGCUUGAAGUCAGACUUGCUGUUCGGAGUUCAGCCGCAAGGUGUACUCUCCGAGUUGCAGGCCAGCAUCAGUUUUUCGGGGUGGAAAAUCACGGUUUGAAGGUAGCAGUUUCGGCUGUGUUAUAGCUUUCCGUUGGAUACAUCCUGGGGGACUGAGGAACGCAGUGUGCUUU